UUGCCACCUGUGUACACUGACGCGGGAGAAGACGACUCGCAAGGCAUUACCAUACCCGAAAAUUAUUCUGAUGAUGACUCCAGGUACAAGAUGGACAAUCUGAAAGCAGGAAAAAAGUGUGGAAUAUGUGCCAUCAUAAAAGUUAAGACUCCUGGCACGCAAGAAGAAUCGGCAGCUGAAGCAGACGUCAAGACCAUAAAAAGUGUAUUUGGUGACGUCAUUGGCUUUGACGUUAAAGUUUACAGCGUUCCCACACCAGCAGAUAUCCGCCAAAAGCUCAAAACGUGUAAAGACGAUAUUGACAAGGAUUCAUCGUGAGCAUCAGAUUGCUUCGCCUGCUUUGUGCUGGGUCACGGCAAGGAAGAUAUCACGUUCCCUUUCGGCGGCGAACUGAUUGACCUGGAAUACAUCUACGAACAGUUCAGUAGCAAAGUCUGCACGAAGCUUCUUGGGAAACCCAAAUUGUUCUUCUUCCAUACGUUACGUGGCUGGAAACAGGGAGGCGAACAUCACUUUGCUGACGGUCCGAGCAAGACUACAAGUGUGCCUUCACAUGCUGAUUUCUUUAUCUUCGAGAGUACCUGG